GGUUGCAUGGUGUAGUUGGUUAUCACGUAUCCUUAACACUUCGUUGUAGACGGAUAAGGUCUGCGGUUCGAACCCGCAUGCGAUCA